rnacentral:rRNA from 1 species
UACGGAGGAUCCAAGCGUUAUCCGGAAUCAUUGGGUUUAAAGGGUCCGUAGGCGGCCUUAUAAGUCAGCGGUGAAAUCUCCCGGCUCAACCGGGAAUGGCCAUUGAUACCUGUAGGGCUUGAAUUAUUAGGAAGUAACUAGAAUAUGUAGUGUAGCGGUGAAAUGCUUAGAUAUUACAUGGAAUACCGAUUGCGAAGGCAGGUUACUACUAAUUGAUUGACGCUGAUGGACGAACGCGUGGUAGCGA